CCAUUUUAUAGAUGACAUAUGGCUCAGAGCAUUUCUAACUUGUCUAAGAGCCAGCGGGGGCAGAGGUGAGAUUCUGGAAUCAGACCCAAGGUGUACCUUCUCACCCAUCACCUCCCAAGCCUCUGCAUUACCACUGUCCCAAGCAUCUGUUCAGUAAUUAGCCUUGCCAGGGCAAGGCUGGCCUCACAGUCAGGAAUUCGCAAGGCAUAGAGGUAUCUGCCCUAGGGGAGUUGCAGUCUCCUAGAGCACAGGGCUAUUAACAAGAGUUAAUUCCCUUUCAGCACAGCCACAGCCACGUGAACUUGUGAGCAAACAAUAGCAGGCACAAAAGAGGGGGGAGCACUCCUAGGGCCAGGAUUAGGAGGGAGGGGCAGCAGGGAGAGGAAAAUCCUUGCCUUUGAGACAUGGGAAGGGAGGAUCUGAGAAACUCUGGUCCAGCUGAACUCUUAUCAUCAUCAGCAUCUCCAUGCUGCUGACCAGAGGAUACCCUACACGUCAGUCAGGACUCCACUCUGCGAUCAACUCCCCUAGAAAUUUCCUGAGCAGCUCAGACACUGCUGGGCCCUGCACCUCCCGUGGCACAGGAAGUGAUCCCACGCUUGGCCACGGCUGACUGGAUCUAGGAUCAAGGCUUGAACCAAAAGCAUCCACCUGCAGGCUGAUGAGAAACCUGUACUCCUCUAGCCACUGGAGACACAGCGGUGAACGAAAUCACGUGUCGGCUCUCAGAGUCUUCCAUUCAUCAUCCCAUUCCCUCUAUGACCUUGGCUGCCAGCACCAUCACUAUAAUGCCAUCAACCAUUGUUUCCUGAGCACUUGGCUUGGAGAGGAGCACAUAAAAAAGCUACCCCAUCCUUGCAGCCCAGGUUCCGCUUCCUACCUUGUCAUCAGCACAGACGGAAAUUCCUCUUUACAGAGAUAUGUCUCCAGUUUUCCCCCAGAGUGUAGCCCCACCCCAGUGCCCAAUGGGUGGAGGAGGGCUGCCUGGCCUGCUUGGAAACUUUAUUUCAGUGUAAAAAGGAACUGAUGCUUCAUCCCAGAGACAGCUGCAUUUCCCCAGAGCAGGAAAUGAAAUAACACAAAGACUGUGGUUCUCCCAAAUGAAAAAAAUGCCCAUGAGAUGCCAGGGAGGGACUGGGGAGAACACUGUGGCUUGUGCUGGGCUCCAGCAGCCUCUGCCUACAAGUGGCAUCUCAGCAAGACCCUCCUAAAGAGUAACUGAUAGGUCAAUAAGGGAACAUUGGUAGGGGGAACAGAUGAUCCUUAAUUCUCUGACUGCAGAUGAGCUCAUGUACUCACCCAAGUGGCUCCUGUUUUCCCUCCUCCCCCUCCCAGCAUCUGGCUUCCUUCUAACCUGGCACUCUGUAUUACAGAGGGCUCCAUCAGCCCCCAGGGCUGGGAUUUAUUUAAAUGAUGAAUGAGCAGUGUGGCCCAAGUGUGUGUUAAGCAAUGUUUAUUAUGAUCAAUAAAUCGUGGUCUCAUAUCUGAUCCA
rnacentral:lncRNA from 13 species